rnacentral:misc_RNA from 1 species
GAUCAUUACCGAGUUAUUCAACUCAUCAACCCUGUGAACUUACCUAAACGUUGCUUCGGCGGGAAUAGACGGCCCUGUAAAACGGGCCGCCCCCGCCAGAGGACUCUUAACUCUGUUUCUUAUAAUGUUUCUUCUGAGUAAAACAAGCAAAUAAAUUAAAACUUUCAACAACGGAUCUCUUGGCUCUGGCAUCGAUGAAGAACGCAGCGAAAUGCGAUAAGUAAUGUGAAUUGCAGAAUUCAGUGAAUCAUCGAAUCUUUGAACGCACAUUGCGCCCGCCAGUAUUCUGGCGGGCAUGCCUGUUCGAGCGUCAUUACAACCCUCAGGCCCCCGGGCCUGGCGUUGGGGAUCGGCGGAGCGCCCCUCGUGGGCGCACGCCGUCCCCCAAAUACAGUGGCGGUCCCGCCGCAGCUUCCAUCGCGUAGUAGCUAACACCUCGCGACUGGAGAGCGGCGCGGCCACGCCGUAAAACACCCCAACUCUUCUGAAGUUGACCUCGAAUCAGGUAGGAAUACCCGCUGAACUUAAGCAUAUCAAUAAGCGGAGGA